GGGGCGCUACAGCAGCCUGGCGAUUUCUGGCUGGAGCAGGCGCGAGCCCAGCCUGCAGAUAGUUCUCCGGAGGAGGCAGCACCGAGGGAAAUCGCAAGGCCUCGGGACCAGGCCCCUUGUUGCCCCAGAGAGGAGCCGCUGCCAGACGCGGGAUCUGGUGCAGAGACCAUGAGCAGAGUUCAUCAGCAGCUUCCUGAAGAAGAAGGGCCUGCAAACCUGGAGCUGCUGAGGACUUCCCCGGGAAGGCUGGGGGAGAGGGCGCCACAGAGCCCUGAGCUGGGCCAGCUGCAGAAGGGGCAGGGCAGGCCGGCAAAGCAGGGGGAAAGCAUGGAGCUCCAGGAGGUGUUUGAGGACGUGGCUGUGUAUUUCACGCGGGCAGAGUGGGAGCUCCUGAAAGAUGCAGACAAGGUGCUUUAGCAGGACCAGAUGCUGUGAAGCCAGGACCAGGACCAGGAACCAGGAACUGUGAAGCCCUCAUUUCCCUGGGAUAUCAAGGCCCCACACCCAACUUAAUCUGCUGCAUCCAGCAAAGACAGGAGGAGCUCUGGGUCUGCGGUGAUGAGGACCAUGGGGAAAUCUCAAGCUCUGAGGACCUGUGGCUAGGAGGUGCCUGGCUGCUGAGCAGAGCAGAGGAAGGGCCUGCAAAUCUGGAGUCACCCGGGAUUACCCCAGGGAGUUUGGGCAAGACGGAGUCCGUGAGACUUGAGGACAAACGAUGGCUCCAGAGCCAGGGGAACCCCCAAAAGCAGAAGGAGAAUGUAGCAAUGACCCAGAUGCGAUCUCUCCUUGGGGGUGAGAGUGAAGAAGGAACAGAAGCCAGACAGAGCCCUGGGCGCAGGGAAGGAUUUGUGGAGCUGAAGAGCCAUGAAGCCAAGUUCUUCUGGAGAGAGACCCCGAAUCUAAGGCGAGCCAGCAGGAAGGGCCUCAGAGGGCAGCAGGAGCUCCCCACCACGCCCAGGGGCAGAGGCCGCCCCUGCCCUGAGUUCUGGAAAAGCUUUAGCUUCCUCUCACUCCUGGCUCUGCACAAGAUAAGCUACAUUGGGGAAAAGCGCCACCUAUGCGUCAGGUGUGGGAAGGGCUUCACCUGUGGCUUCGCCCAAGCUACUCAUUGCAAGAUCAAUUAUGGAGAGCUCCCACACCACUUAACCAGAUUUGGGAGGAGCUUUGUGUGCCUCUCAGAAGUAAGAAAGCACCAAGAUGUGCAUAGGGGAAACUGUCAGUACCGUUGUGUCACGUGUGGCAAGACCUUCACUCAUUUCUUCUCCCUAGCUCAGCACUGGCACAUUCACGCGAGGGAUAAACAGCAUCGGUAUCCUGAGUGUGGGAGGCGUUUCAGACGUUCCACCAACCGAGCCAAACACCAGUGCAUCCACACAGGGCAGA